AUAAUUUCACAAAUCAACAUAAUUUAAAAUAAAAUGUAGUAAAAUUAAAUCAUAAAAAUGAGAAAUACAUUAAAGUGUAGAUUUUUUUGAUAAAUAACUCAGUGGAAAUGUAAGUAGUGUCACAGCUGUGACAUGACUGUGUACACAUCCUCAACAGCAAGCAAAAACUUGAUCUUUUGCGUUUUUCUUUCAAGUGUCACAAUCCAUAGGACGAUUAACUGCAAAAAAGAAAGGAAACACAGUAUGACUGGAUAACUUUACAACAAAGUACACAAUGUGAGGGACUUGCACAGGACAUUGAGAGUGUAAUACAGCCCUGUUUACACACAAGUGAGAGCUUAGCACAAACAGCGGUAGGAUAGCACUCUGACCUAUUUGUCAUUAAACUGUGUUUUCUUAAAAGGUGAGCAUGUCUGGAAGCAUGCUGGAGACUGUCCUCAAACACUGGGAAUCCCGUGGGAGCUCAACUUCUCCAGGCCUGUGUACACAGUGCAAACAUGGGAGGCGGGCUUCUUUGGUCUGCUUAAUGCUGUCCCUGUGGAGGUCAGGAGGUUGAUUCUGGCCCAUAGCCAGCAAACCAACAGCCAUUUUGGGCCCCUAGAUAGAGGCUGAGGUAUUCAGUGUUGGUAUAUCUGAUACGAGGUCUGGAGGAGUCUUGAACCCAACAGCAUGUCUACAUCCGGGACACAUUCUUCUCUUUACAGUGACCCAACAGCACUAUCCUCAGUAUGAUGUAGACAGCUUGUACAACACUAAUGCUGCGUUCGACUGGGGGGCCCCUUCAGAUUAUUGACACAGGACCAAGAACUGGCACGAUCUGCCCACUCCCUUUUUUCCAUAAGUCUCCAUGAGCCUGGGGUGUACACCUUCAAACUCAGCAGCCACCAACAUAGGCACAUGGUAUUAUGAUCCAUUUUCAUUACUGCAGAUAACCUUUAUGAUCUAUUACGGCAGAUAAACAUUAUAAAUGUUAUUAAAAGUCUGUACUAUUUAGUCUAAAGAAAUUAAAAAUAAAAUACUAAAAA